GGCUUAGAGUUUGAUCAUGGCUCAGGACGAACGCUGGCGGCGCGCCUAACACAUGCAAGUCGAACGGAGUUGUGUUGAAAGCUUGCUGGAUAUACAACUUAGUGGCGGACGGGUGAGUAACACGUGAGUAACCUGCCUUUCAGAGUGGAAUAACGUUUGGAAACGAACGCUAAUACCGCAUAACAUGAGAGAACGGCAUCGUUCUUUCAUCAAAGAUUUUAUCGCUGAGAGAUGGGCUCGCGGCCGAUUAGGUAGUUGGUGAGAUAACAGCCCACCAAGCCGACGAUCGGUAGCCGGACUGAGAGGUUGAACGGCCACAUUGGGACUGAGACACGGCCCAGACUCCUACGGGAGGCAGCAGUGGGGGAUAUUGCACAAUGGAGGAAACUCUGAUUCAGCGACGCCGCGUGAGGGAAGACGGUCUUCGGAUUGUAAACCUCUGUCUUUAGGGACGAAAAAAUGACGGUACCUAAGGAGGAAGCCACGGCUAACUACGUGCCAGCAGCCGCGGUAAUACGUAGGUGGCAAGCGUUGUCCGGAAUUACUGGGUGUAAAGGGAGCGUAGGCGGGGAGACAAGUUGAAUGUCUAAACUAUCGGCUCAACUGAUAGUCGCGUUCAAAACUAUCACUCUUGAGUGCAGUAGAGGUAGGCG
rnacentral:rRNA from 1 species